UUACCUUUCAAAGGCUUCUACUUCUGCUUACAAUUUUAUGCACCAUUUUCCCCUCAUUUUACCCUUCAAAGGCUUCUACUUCUGCUUACAAUUUUAUCCUCAGUGCCUUGCAUCGUGUCCAAUUUUUCCUGUGCACGUUUGAUUUCUUCAUUUAAUUUUGUAACUGCAGGUUCUCUUUCAUUGCCACCAAUUUCACCUGAAGCUUUGGCAAGAUUUUCUCUUACAUUGCCUCCAAUGUCUUUAUCUAAUCGAGAAAUUAAAAUGAAACAGGAAAUAAGAAACGACGGGCCAUUUCCCGGGUCAAUCCUAGAAACGGUUCCAGGCAGGUUAUAGGGUCGACUGGUACAGCUCCUGUGAGAACCCGCUCUUACAAGGCAAUGCAUGCGCAUUUCUCCUCGAAGUUCAAUGGGGGUAAGAAGAAUAGAUUCUUAUACCAAGCAGAUGGGGCGAAGAUUUUGCUAGCCAUGCCUGGAAAAGUUGCAGAGACAGUACGCCAGUUGAAGUGUUAAAUCCGGCCAUUGGAGACUCCUAUUUGAGGGACGAAAUUUUUAGAUGCCUGCACAUUGGUUUGCUAUGUGUUCAGGAAGAUCCAAUUGAUGGACCCACAAUGGCAGACAUAGUCCUUUAACAGCUACUGUGUUGCUCUUGAGUCGCUCUAACCACUGGCCGUCUUCCUCCGGAGCAGGAUGGAGAGACUGAUAAGGGGGUCGAAUUGGACCAAUCCGCCAGUAGGUCGAUGCCAUUAUCGGUAAAUGAGAUGUCACGGACCUGAAGUUUACCCCCGGUGAACAGUGAUGUGAGCGGAAGUCUUUCAUGGAGGCCUUGUUCAUUAGAUCCCCUAUAACCUGUACUUAGUCCAGAGAGUGCAAAAUCAUGUCUUCAUCCGCUUGAGAGCAAACACCUAUAACAUGUACAUAUAAAUGUGCAAGGUGCCCCCUCUGCGAGUCUAAUGUUGUCUUCAUUCACGAGUCUGGUGGAUCAAGACAUGAUUAGCCUCGAAGAGUGGGCACCCUCUCCUUUUAGAUUUACGGGUUGUAGGUGUUUGCUCAUUGUUCCAACUCCAUGUAUCGUGGAUGAACAGGGGUAGUCUCCAGCGUGUGAUUUUGCGUUCCUUGUCCAAUGAAAUAAUUAAUUGAAAUGACGUGAGGUUGACUUAAUUGUCUUA